rnacentral:rRNA from 1 species
CAGCCGCCGCGGUAACACGGAGGAUCCGAGCGUUAUCCGGAAUUAUUGGGUUUAAAGGGUGCGUAGGCGGAUAGAUAAGUCAGUGGUGAAAGACGGUGGCUCAACCAUCGCAGUGCCGUUGAUACUGUUUAUCUUGAAUAUGGAUGAGGUAGGCGGAAUGUGGCAAGUAGCGGUGAAAUGCAUAGAUAUGCCACAGAACACCGAUUGCGAAGGCAGCUUACCAAGGCAAAAUUGACGCUGAGGCACGAAAGCGUGGGGAUCGAACAGGAUUAGAUACCCGCGUAGUCCCUGUCUCUUAUAA